rnacentral:rRNA from 1 species
CCUACGGGAGGCAGCAGUGGGGAAUAUUGGGCAAUGGGCGCAAGCCUGACCCAGCAACGCCGCGUGAAGGAAGAAGGCCCUCGGGUUGUAAACUUCUUUUGUCAGGGACGAAACAAAUGACGGUACCUGCCGCAUAACCCACGGCUAACUACGUGCCAGCAGCCGCGGUAAUACGUAGGUGGCAAGCGUUAUCCGGAUUUACUGGGUGUAAAGGGCGGGUAGGCGGGAGAGCAAGUCAGAUGUGAAAUUCCAGGGCUCAACCCUGGAACUGCAUUUGAAACUGUUUGUCUUGAGUGAUGGAGAGGCAGGCGGAAUUCCGGGGGUAGCGGUGAAAUGCGUAGAUAUACGGAGGAACACCAGUGGCGAAGGCGGCCUGCUGGACAUUAACUGACGCUGAGGCGCGAAAGCGUGGGGAGCAAACAGGAUUAGAUACCCGGGUAGUC